UCAUGAAUAUUCAGUUUUACACUCGGCAAACAUUUAACAUUUACAUUUAACAUUUACAUUUAACAUUUAACACUUACAUUUAACAUUUACAUUUAACAUUUAACAUUUACAUUUAACAUUUACAUUUAUAUUUAACAUUUACAUUUAGACUUUUGCACAUUUAACUAAAUGUGAGAAAACAUGUUGUGUAAUUUAGUUAAAUGUGAGAAAACUAGUUAUAGGUGCUACUUUUACAUUUGGCACCCCAUAUGUGUGUGUGUGUGUGUGUGUGUAUGUGUGUGUGUGUGUGAGGGGGGACUCUAUAGAAUGCCUAGUAAUAAAUAUUGAUAAAUCAGUGAAACUCUACAGUAAAAAUACAGAGAUAGGACAUGUGUCCUACAUUUAAUAAUGAAAUAUUAUGAUUAUGUGGGUCUGGCAUUAUGGACCAAAGUCACUUUAUUCAUUAUCAAAGUUGAUAACUAAUACUGUUUUUGUGCCACAUUAAACUACUAAUAUAUCCUACAUUAUGCAGUAAAAGUACACACAUCUUUGUUAGAUAAGAGUGUUAUUGUAUAUUUGCAAACUGUCUUUUGUAGUUUUUAUAUUUAGAACAAAUCAGUUGUCUUCACAUGAAAAGACUACGACUCUGCAACCUGGGCUCCACUCUCAAGGGGUAGGGUGCCUAUUACAGUGCAUGUGGAAUAUAUUCAUAGUCUCACUUCUUCACUGCUUCACUUUUUCCACAAUUUUUAUAUUACAGCCUUAUUUCAAAAUGAAUUUAAUUUAUUUAUUUUCUCAAAACAAAAUCUACACAAAAUACCCCAUUAUGAAAAUGACAGAAAGGAUUUUGGAAAUUGUUGCGAAUUUAUUAAAAAUUUAAAAACUGAAAGAACACAUGUAUAUAAGUAUUCACAGCCUUUGCUGUGAAGCUCUAAAUUGAGCUCAGGAACAAUCUGUUUUCGCUGAUCAUUCUUCAGAUGUUUUAGCAGCUUAAUUGGAAAUCAUUCAAAUUCAGUUGAUUGGGCAUGAUUUGAAAAGGCACACACCUGUCUAUAUAAGGUCCCAGUGUUGACAGUGCACGUCAAAGAGCAAAUCAAGUAUGAAGACAAAGGAAUUGCCUCUAGACCUCCGAGAAAGUAUUGUAUUGGGGCACAAGGCUGGGGAAGGUCACAGAACAAUUUCUGUUGCUCUGAAAGUUCCAAUGAGCACGUUUCAAGAAGGAGGUUUAACAAACUCUGAGUUAAAAUGAAACUCUAGGUUGAUUUAGUCUGAGUUUGCAAACCUGGAGUUUUCGGUUCCAGAACAGCUGAAAAGAGUUGGUUUAAGCAACUCUGAGUUGUCUGACUCAGAGUUAAGCGCCAAAGCCCUGAUCAAUGGAGUGAAGAUAUUAUGAGUCACCAUGGCAACAGGACAACAAAAGACGUCCGGAAAUGGAUACGAUACCUCAAGCAAAUAGCGACUACGAGUCUAUAAUCCGUAGAAAAAGCAACACGGCUGCAGCGGCGAAAGAGAAAGAAUUAGCUUGGAAGAAAAUAGCUGCUCGAGUCAAUGCCCAACAGAAGGAAGGCAGAGGCUGGAACAACUGGUGGAGGACCUGCACCACCACCAUUGAUGCAUGCAGAGGAGAAGGCCCUUGGCAUGAACACUGGAAAGCAGAGGCUGAAGGAAUUCCUGGAGGGAGUUCAUCAGAACCAGUCACUCCCCAGGAUACAAGUGCAUUUGUAAAAUAUUCUGAUGGUAAUAUAUGAAUCCUCCUAUCACAACAGAAGCCCAGGAUGUUGUAAGUAUACUACUAAAUAAAGCUUAAAUUAUGAUAAGCAGUAUUAUAAAGUGUAAUAUUAAUACAGUUUAUACACAGCACAGGGCGGCAUGGUGGUGCGGUGGGUAGCACUGUCGCCUCACAGCAAGAAGGUUCUGGGUUCGAUUCCCGGAGGCGGCCCUGGUGCCUUUCUGUGUGGAGUUUGCACGUUCUCCCCGUGUCUGCGUGGGUUCUCUCCGGGUUCUCCGGCUUCCUCCCACAGUCCAAAGACGUGCAUUAGGUUGAUUGGCUUCUCUCCAUUGCCCGUAGGUGUGAGUGUGUGAGUGAAUGGUUGUUUGUCUAUGUGUUGCCCUGUGAUGGACUGGCGACCCAUCCAGGGUGUACCCUGCCUCUCGCCCGUAGCCAGCUGGGAUAGGCUCCAGCACCACCCGUGACCCCGCACUAGGGAGUAAG